CGGAGGGUGCAAGCGUUAUCCGGAUUCACUGGGUUUAAGGGGUGCGUAGGUGGGUAAGUAAGUCAGUGGUGAAAUCUCCGGGCUUAACCCGGAAACUGCCAUUGAUACUAUUUGUCUUGAAUACUGUGGAGGUCAGCGGAAUAUGUCAUGUAGCGGUGAAAUGCUUAGAUAUGGCAUAGAACACCAAUUGCGAAGGCAGCUGGCUACACAAAUAUUGACACUGAGGCACGAAAGCGUGGGGAUCAAACAGGAUUAGAUACCCUGGUAGUCCACGCCCUAAACUAUGGAUACUCGACAUUUGCGAUAAACUGCAAGUGUCUGAGCGAAAGCACUAAGUAUCCCACCUGGGAAGUACGAUCGCAAGAUUG
rnacentral:rRNA from 1 species